GGGCCUGUAGUUCAAUGGUAGAAUGCAUCAUUUGCAAUGAUGAGGUUGAGAGUUCGAUUCUCUCCAGGUCCACCA
rnacentral:tRNA from 3 species